AACCCUUGAUCUCCCUUCUAUAGGGUCUGUUAGUGGGUUCCCAUUACCUCCCACAUUGUCUUGCUUUUCCAUUCCUUCCAGCUGCUGCUCCAACCCUUGACACAUCCCUCCCUCAUGGAAGACAGCCUCCCCUCCUACUUAACGCCAGGGAAAAGGUGUGGCUGCCUCAUUACAUGAGUUCGUGAGAGUGGGAAUGCGUGUGUGACAGACUUCUGAGCAGUUAUAAAGCAGUGAUGUGAAGAAAGAGAGAGCCUUGGACGCUUACAGCCUGCAGGAGUUUCCAGUCCAGGGCCAGGUGCUUGAGAGACAUGCCGCUUUCACAGUCCCUGCUGCAGCAGGCGGAGCACAGCAGCCUGCAGCUUAAACUUGGCCUUAGCACUUUGGCCUAAGAACUUGAAACCUUCCCGAGAAGACGAGAAACAGGAAAACCUGGUGAGAGGGUGAAAGGUAGGCUCAGGGGCCAGCAACAUGGUUUCUCUGUAGCCCAAGACUUCUCAGGGAGGCAUCUGGGUGUAACACGUGGGCUCCAGCUGUCAGGUCCUGGGGAAACGUGUGUGGGCUCCUCUGUUAGCACUGCUCACUGUGGAUAUCAAAAUUGUUUUCAAGGGCUCCAAGCCAGUGGGUAAAGUGAGGUAUGGAUUUGGGGAGAAGGUCGUUCUCUCCCCUUGUGCUGAGGUCCCAGGUCCUCCCAGCACCUGGGGACAGGAGGCUCUGGGAGCAUCAGGGAUGGUUACUGUCACCCCUAACACUGUUGUUCUCAUGCAGGGCACUGGCAGGCCUGGCAGCAGCAGCUGGAGAGACAUAAAUGUGCCCACAGGGACCUGGAGUCGAAGAGGAAGAUGGCAGCCACCAUCAUUAGAGAGACCUCGUCACUUCGCUUACUCGGAACCGUGUUUAACCCUUCCAUGCCUACACCCACACACCCACAUAGCAUCAUACACACACACACCAUGCUCUCACACACACCCUCCUCAGGGCCCUGCUCCACCAUUAUCACCCUCCUCGUGCACCUCCAGACUUUUCUACCCCUUGGCCACGCUGCCUCCCCUACACAGGUAGUCCAGGCUCUCCCAACCAGGGACACUCGCCUGUCAAUACUUUCUUUCCAGCAGGGACUAUUGGCCUCCCUUCAUCAACACAGUCCUGGUAAAAGUUGUCUGUACUUCUGCCUCUCUCCUUGUCUUCAACCACUGCACCCUGGAUUUUGACCUUCAGCCAAAAUCACAACCAACUCCGAAUGGCUGGAUCCAGGGUUCUUUCCCAGGGUUUUUGUCAUAUCCAAAUGCUCAGCGGCAUUUGACUGACCAUACUUUCUUGGAACUCCAGCCUCCUUUGUUCCCCAGGCACCUCACUUUGGGUUCUCUUUUUUCUAACUGCUUUUUCCUCUUCCUCCAGCUGGUCUGCAAAUGGCACUACCCUCUCCAAAUUCCAUAUAAAUCCUCUCGUCUCCUUUCUCUACAACUGCCACCUGAGGGUGCCCGCUCCUGCAGCUUGAAGUACAAUCAGAAUCUCCAUUCUCAAAGCAGCUGAGCUCCAGACACCAGGUUCCUAACUGCCCACUGGGCACUUCUCCCCGGAGGCUGGACCCUUUCGGGCAUCUUAACCUCAGCCUGUUCAAAAUGGAACUUUUCUUUAUGUCCCUCCAAUGAAACGUUGAGGCAUAGAAGAAGGAACCUCACACCUUCCUCUUUACAAUCUCCAAAACAAGUGCGCAGCUUGGGGCUGGAGGUGCAUUUAGUGACAGUGUCACCACUACUGUUUUCUAACCACAGAUGAGUUAAGCCACAAUGCAGAUCAGCCAAAAGGAGAUGAAAAUUCUGACUGAAACUUUUAUGGAAAAAGAUUUACCAUGAUGAAAAGCGUUCAAAUUGUCCCAUUCUUUUCUCUAGGUAAUUACAUGUUAUAUUACCACUAAGUAUCAUCCCAAUCAUCAGACCAACACACUGAUUGGGUGAAAUGUUGUCCCUGUUGCAUGCCAGCUCUGUGCUGCAUAGCCUUCUUCUCUUUCUCCGCAUUCAUCAACAUCUUACCCAUCCAAACCCUUUUGGCAUGUUGCUUGUCUCUGUCUGACAUUGUUCAUGGACCACACCGAGGAGCACCCAGUUAUUCGGUUUGGAGUUUACAGACCAGGAUGUCAGUCGCAGACAGAUUACAGAUCUUUCCCCUCGUGUGAGUGGCUCUGCCUUGGCCACCCCAGAGAUGGACCCCUGACCAGGCUGGUCAAUCAGCACAUCCUUCUCCUUCAACACAGACAUGGGUCAGAGAUGGACUGCUUCCUGAAAACUCUGCCUCCUCAGCUUCUCUGAAUCAACCCAAGUCCACGACUGCUUCUGCUGCCCAUCCUAGGACCUCCAGUUCCUUCCCCAGCCAGAGCAAACAAGGGGCAGUUUCAGUGUAGGUGAAACUCCUUGAAGCCAUGUGUGAUUUCCAUGAGGAGAAAGAAGCACCACCACCACGCUCAUUUCCAAAUCGGAUAAUUUGGGGGAAUUGAUGUUAAGCUUCCAUGCUCUCCUGCCCAAGGCUGUUAGCAAGCAGAGGAAAUUUCUCAGAGCGGCCCACCAAAUGUCCUCGUGGGCUGACCACAGAAGCACAGGGCUUUCUCUGGAGCUUCCUGACAAGGGGCUUUGGUGCACCCCCAAAGACAACAUUCACAUCAAGGACUGCCUGCCUACCUCCACGUCUGCCCCCACCCCAGCGGAAUCUUCAAAGUCUGCAGAAAC
rnacentral:lncRNA from 1 species